GUAUGUGAGAGAUAGGACGACGGAGUAAAUACUGAACUUUGUGGUCUGACAGCUCUUGGUUUGAAUCCUGGCCUAGUCAGUGUUGGGCCUGGGUGUUUCUAAGCCUCAGUUUCAUUGCUUACAAAAAGACAGUAAUACCUUCUUCAGGGUUGUUGCCAGUGAUAAAUGAGGCAAAACACGCCAAGAUUUUAGUGCAGGGCCCGCUCAUGUUAGUGCUCAAUACAUGUCAUUGACUACUGUUCUGCAUCAGAAAUCAGUGUUUGUUGACUGCAUUGGUGAUGACGUUCGGGGUUGGAGCGCCUCUCGCACUGUGUAGUUUCAUAUGGUCUUGAGAGCAGGAUCAAGGGAGGUGACCCAGCCAUGGAGGCUGUCUAUUGAAAUCAGACACCUGGGUCUAGGCCUUGACCAUCGAAGGCAUCUUUCUAAUUUCUCCAACCCACACUUCUGGUGCCCUUCUAGAGCCCUGGUUGUUUUGUGGGCAAAUCUGUGGUGUCCCCUGUGAUUCUGGAAACCCAGCACAGAUAGAGAUCAUCUUCCUGCACAAUAGGCAUUUGCUCACCACCACCUCUAGCCCACCGAGCAGCAGCUCCUGCUGUGAGACCUACAGAAAAACCUGUCCUCAGUGCUGGCCUUGAAAAAAUAGGGACUGAUUUGGCCCAACCAUGGCACGCCUCAUUUGGCCCUAGCCGCCCCCAGCAUUUUUUGGCCCCAAGAUGGUAGAGCGGAGGGAGCACUGGCUUCAGCUAGAAGGGGCAGGUGGGAGAGGCGGGCACUGUGGACAACACCUCCCGGCUGCAGCGGACUGUGGAUGGAAGUGGGAACGGGAGCGGAGAGCUGUCAUGGGAGGACACCCCCCCACCCCCCGCAACGGCGGGAGCAGUGCGUGCCCAAAGCCGAGGAGAAAAUGAACAGCCAGUCGCGAGGGGGGAGAGGCGGGGCUGUUCAGGAGGGAGCGGAAAUGGUGCGGGGAGUCAGCCCCUGGGGCCUCCUGGGGAACUGGGAUUCAGCGCCGGCCACGUGCUCCCGGGAGUACUUAGCUGGUGGCGGCCCGCAGGCUGUGCGUGAGACUCUACGUGAGCUGGGCUUUGCGCCGGGAUGACCAUCCUUCAGCCGCAAGGGCUCCCGAUGCCUUUCCGUUCUGACUUCUAAGAUUAUUGAGGCCCUGGGCAGAGCUGGUGUUUCCAGACCAGGCCACGGAGCUGCGGAGAGAAGAAUGCUUCUGCUUUUGCUGCGGAUCGCGAGUUGUUGGGCGCAAAGAUCCAGAAAGAUGAGGGCCUACCCUAAGCUCAUCUCCCAAAUCCGUAUCUUAGAACCCAAGGCCCGGGGUGCCGGGAACACCAAGACACGCCCACACAGCUGCUGCUGCCGCCGAGUCCACCGAGUCGCCUUCUCCCUUACCACAUGGAAGGCUGCCUCCUUCCCACCUGCAGGCCCACGCGGUUCGAUCUCCUCCAAACCCACUAUCACUGCUACCCCGCUAGAUAUCCUUGGCCCAGGUCUGAAAAAUUCUCUCCUGAGGUCCUUGAUCAGAUUGCUCCUCGCAGGACGCCCUGAGGGAUUGGAGACCCUUGAGGAGCCGCAGCGUGGGAGCACAGGCGAAGGGGCCUAGCAAGGGGUUUGUACGCCACGUCCAUUUCUCUCCCCAACCGUAGCUCUGCGCAGGGCUUGUCUAGCUGGUGGGAGACUUAGAUCUCGGCCUUAAGCCCUGGGCAGGGGCUGGGAUCAUCUGAUUGUUCAGGUUCCCUUUGGUCCAUUUGGUUCCCCAGCGGCGGAGCUUCCCUGCAGGAAUACCCGCCAGGCCAAUCACAUCUAGGGAGCCUGCCUGGCCUGCGCCCGCACCCCGACGACAACAAGCUUGUGCGCAGCCAACUGUGCGGGGCUGUCCGGAAUGAAAACGCCAGAAUGGUAGUUACACUGCAGCGGCGGUCGGUUCUUCAGGCGCUUAUCAGAAUGUGGAAUCUGGUUCCAGCGCCUAUCCAGUUACAAUCUCAUGCUAGGACAUUUGCAUUCUUUUGUCGGAAAAGAGGAUCUUUGAAAUCCCGGAGCUGUGCUCGACUAAUAAUAGGUUUUUGUUCCAGAUAGAUUAGCUAAUUACUGUCAGAUAAAGUAUGUAUCGUUGCAUCCAUGGCAGCGUUUGAUUUUAUUUUAAUCGAGUGUAUCUGCCUAUCAUCCGUUUUGUCACAUUAUACAUUUAUACAAGUCUUUCUCCUCCCAUAUGUGAUUACAGGGCACAGUAAAAUGAUAGAUUCUUUGAGGGAAAGUGCUAUAACAGAUGCAUAAAAAGGUGAUAAAGAAAACUAUACCUUUUGUGGAGAAAAACAACAUGCUAAUCAUUACAGCAAACUUUAUCAAAGAAAAAUGUGACGGUGCUUUGAAAGCUGUAAAGUGUUCCCAUAAGUUAUUAUUGUAUACACAAAAACUGCUUAAUAUACAUAUAAAUAGGCAGAAAAUUGAUCACUUUAAUUAUAUAUGCUACAGCUUAUUCUGUUAUCCUUCACUUGUUUAAAUAGCCAUUUAUUUAUGUAGCCAUGGCUACAAAAAAAAUUGAAGGUUUUAGUGGCUUUCUAAUCUAAAUGUAUACUAUAGUCAGGAGUAGUUUUCUUUCAAGACAUGAGAAACCAUCAUGGGGUGAACUCUGCUAGCUAAAACUGUGUGAUAACAUUUUAGGCGAUUUUUUUCCAUUGAAAAAUUUCCUUCUUCCUGUCUUUCUUUUCUUUCUUUCUUUCUUUUUUUUUUUUACUGCUCUCCCAGAAACUUCAUUUUCAAUGACAUCUUUGGGGGGAAAAAAAGAGACAAGAAAAGUUAAAAAAUUCCUCUUUCGCAGGAGCAUUAAGUAGGUUUUUGUUAUUUUGUUGUAGUUGCUGCUGGUGGUGCAUAUAUGUGCAUGUGUUUUGAUUUGGUUUUUAGUUGAGAGAUGUUAGAACAUAUCCAGAUUUGUGAGCAUUCUAGAGGCUAGUGUUUUGUGAAAAGGGGAAUACAUUAUCUACUUUUAAAGAAAUGUCAACUAGGUACAUCAGUCCCAUAAAGUAUUAAGCUGAUCUAAUUCCUCAAGAGGAACUUUCCCCCCAAGUUUCAGCAAUUUGGUAAGAGAGAUUUUUAAAAGGCAUUUUGAGAAUUUUAGCUUGUUUUCCAUAUGUUUGUAUAAAUGCCAGAUUUCCCCAGAUUGUGUAUAGAAUUGAGUUUUCUAAAUAACCCACCACUUCCCUUCUCUGGGAGAAAAUUUGUCCAAGUUCAGUAAUCCCUGUAGUUCUUUGUUAAUUUCAGGCCCUUGCCAGUGAAGCAAGUUUCGAUUUCUCAGGAUGAAGACCUUUCAUAUCUAUGUGUAUCUGCUUCACUCCAAAAAAUUUUAAGUUAACAAUAUAAAUAAAGCUUUUGUAAUAAAAAAAGUUGUUUUGCCAAUAAA
ensembl:lncRNA